AGGGAUGGAGGCCUUCGGGUUGUAAACCUCUUUCGCCAGUGAAGCAGGCCUGCUCCUUGUGGGUGGGUUGACGGUAGCUGGAUAAGAAGCGCCGGCUAACUACGUGCCAGCAGCCGCGGUAAUACGUAGGGCGCGAGCGUUGUCCGGAAUUAUUGGGCGUAAAGAGCUCGUAGGCGGCUGGUCGCGUCUGUCGUGAAAUCCUCUGGCUUAACUGGGGGCUUGCGGUGGGUACGGGCCGGCUUGAGUGCGGUAGGGGAGACUGGAACUCCUGGUGUAGCGGUGGAAUGCGCAGAUAUCAGGAAGAACACCGGUGGCGAAGGCGGGUCUCUGGGCCGUUACUGACGCUGAGGAGCGAAAGCGUGGGGAGCGAACAGGAUUAGAUACCCUGGUAGUCCACGCCGUAAACGUUGGGCACUAGGUGUGGGGGGCCUUUUCCGGGUCUUCCGCGCCGUAGCUAACGCAUUAAGUGCCCCGCCUGG
rnacentral:rRNA from 1 species